rnacentral:piRNA from 1 species
AUCGACCUGGUAUUGCAGUACUU